GCUUCAUGAAUGCACACAGUCACGUCGCAGAAGUGCCCACCCAGCUUCUGCCCAUUGAGGGUCUCAAGCAGAGAGCGUGAGAAGUUCUGCAGAUGUAUGUGGCGCACAGCCUCUACAGCCGCCGACUCCGACUCCUCUUCAGGCACCAGGCCUGGCCGUGGCCGCCUUCUCACCGACUCCAAGGCAGCACUUCCGGGCGCUUCUCUUUAUUUUUAUACAGUUUUAUUGAGAUAUAAUUUACAUGCUAUCCAGCCCAUCUAUUUCAAGUGUACCAUGCAAGGGGUUUGUAUAUAUUCACAGAGUUGUGUAUCCAUCACCAUCGUUUUAGAACAUUCAUCACUCCAGAAGAAACUACGUACCCAUCAGCAGCCACUGCCCAUUUCCCUGAUCUGCCCCGCCCUAGGAAAUCCGUAAUCACUUUCAGUCUAUGGAUUUGCCUAUUCUAGACCAUUCAUAUAAAUGAAGUCACACAACACUGGGUCUUAUGUGACUGGCUUCUAUCAAAGUUUGCAAGGUUCAUUUAUGUUCAUGGGCUGACCCCACAUUGGACACCGCUGCAUCCAUGUCCAUCACACAACACAGCUGCCGUUUCUUCUGCCUGCUUAUGGGAAAGUCCCCUCUUCUCCUCCGUUUUCUUCUCUUCCUGCCCUAUCACACCGUGCACUUCUCCCUUUCCUUAAAGAACCACCAUCAACUUUAGGAGGAGGGAAAGGGGUGGCUCUGGCAGGAAAAGCCAGAAUCCCCUCUAGCCAGCAGAGAGAGAGAGGAAUGGCUGCAUGUUUUCUCCCCCAGUCCAAGGCACUGGGUCUUGGCUGGGUUGAAGGUUCCAAGCUGCUCUCCUGCUGUGUCGGUGAGUUCUGGUCAACCUGCAACCUCCUGAUAUGGCCAUUGCAGUUCAUCGAGUCUUCAGGGACUCCCCAUGGCCUGGAGUACUUUGCCUUGCUUACACGGGAGAGGAGAAUGGAUUUAUAGAGAACAUCAUCUAAAUCCAACUUGACCAUUGUGUGGCCACACUUGCUAGAUUGCUAUAGUCUAAAUCUAGCAUUGUAGAAAGACGGGGGAGCUUGGAGCUGCACAAACCCAGGUCUGGAACUGGCUCCUUACCUUGGAAGGUGAAUGAUCCUGCCAGGACUCUUAGCCUCCCUGGGUCUCAAUUUCUUUAUCUGUUUCAUGGGAAUGAGGAUCUCUGCUGGGUGGUUGGGUGAUGUGGGGGCUGUGUGAAAACAGCUUGUCAAUACAAGCCAAAAUAGAAAUAUUUCUCCACAGAGUAUGAAGGUCAAAUGAGAGAAUACAUUUAAAUUAAAUGGAAAAUUAAAAUGGUAAAAAAUGCAAAGCUGUAUUGAAAGUUCCGAGCUUCUCUAUAAGGAGCUUUUUGACUAUGGAAGAAUCCUGUACUCGUUCCCCCUAAAUAUAAAAAAAAAGUUGAAGGAGGCAGAAGGGAGAGUGAUGCACGAUGGGCAAGGACUUCACCUGCUGUUGCUGGCUUUGAGGAUGGAGGAAGGAGGCCACAAACCUAGAAGCUGGAGCCCCUAGAAGCUAGAAAAGGCAGGGACCCGAUUCUUUCCUUGAGCCUCCAGAAGGGACACAGCCCCGCCAGCACCUUGACUUUAGCCUGGUGAGAUCCUCUUAGGACUUUUGGCAAUCAGAACUAUAAGACAGAAAUGGAAGCCACUGAGUCUGUAGCUGUUUGUUGCAGCAGCAAUAGAAAACUAAUGCAGGGCCCAAGAAAUCACUGGUGAUGAGAUCGGGAAAGUGGGCUCAGGAGGUCUGGAUCUGUGAUGAGAUGGGGAAAGUGGGCUCAAGAGGUCUGGAUCUGUGGUGAGAUGGGGGAAGUGGGCUCAGGAGGUCUGGAUCUGUGAUGAGAUGGGGAAAGUGGGCUCAGGAGGUCUGGAUCUGUGAUGAGAUGGGGAAAGUGGGCUCAGGAGGUCUGGAUCUGUGAUGAGAUGGGGGAAGUGGGCUCAGGAGGUCUGGAUCUGUGAUGAGAUGGGGGAAGUGGGCUCAGGAGGUCUGGAUCUGUGAUGAGAUGGGGGAAGUGGGCUCAGGAGGUCUGGAUCUGUGAUGAGAUGGGGAAAGUGGGCUCAGGAGGUCUGGAUCUGUGAUGAGAUCGGGAAAGUGGGCUCAAGAGGUCUGGAUCUGUGGUGAGAUGGGGGAAGUGGGCUCAGGAGGUCUGGAUCUGUGAUGAGAUGGGGAAAGUGGGCUCAGGAGGUCUGGAUCUGUGAUGAGAUGGGGGAAGUGGGCUCAGGAGGUCUGGAUCUGGGGUGGGGAUCUGGA
ensembl:lncRNA LINC01123 long intergenic non-protein coding RNA 1123